UACAGAGGGUGCAAGCGUUAUCCGGAUUCACUGGGUUUAAAGGGUGCGUAGGCGGAUAGGUAAGUCCGUGGUGAAAUCCUGCAGCUUAACUGCAGAACUGCCGUGGAUACUAUCUAUCUUGAAUGUCGUGGAGGUUAGCAGAAUAUGUCAUGUAGCGGUGAAAUGCUUAGAUAUGACAUAGAAUACCCAUUGCGAAGGCAGCUAACUACGCGAUAAUUGACGCUGAUGCACGAAAGCGUGGGGAUCAAACAGG
rnacentral:rRNA from 1 species